AAAUUUGUCGUAAAAAUUGACGUUUUCUAAUCAAAUUUACGAAAAAACAAAAAUGGUGACCGCCAUUUUUUUUUAUUACAUAUUCCGAUGUAACUCGAUUCAAAGUACAAGUGUGCCAAAAAUUUAUGAAAUCGGGAGAUAUGCCAUUCGGUGUCGUGUUAUCUUGAAAUAUAAGUACAUAGUUUUGGAUUAUGAAGAAAAAUUGCCCACUUAGAGGGGAACACGAAACUGCAUUGAAAAUGAAAAAAAAUCUGGAGCAAAAUUAAACAUACAAAUCUAGGUUAGAAAAAGACACUACUUUUAAAAAAGAAAUAAAAAGAAUAAACAUUAAGAGAUACAAUCAUAAUAAUUUAGUAAAAUAAAAAAAGACGUAGAUAACUAGAAUGGCAUCUUCUAUGAGGGUGUGGAUGGAGUUUACAGAAUAGAGAAUAAUGGGCUAAAAAAAUAAAGAAUAGAAAAGAAAAGGAUAGGCCAAAAAUUUAAGAAUAGAGAAUAGUGGGCUUCUAGAAUAUAAAAAAAAUAGAGAAUAAUGGGCAAAAUUUAUAUAGAAUAGAGAAAAAAUGGC
rnacentral:lncRNA from 1 species